GAUGAACGCUAGCGGCAGGCUUAAUACAUGCAAGUCGAGGGGCAGCACGGUUAGCAAUAACUGGUGGCGACCGGCGCACGGGUGCGUAACACGUAUACAAUCUACCUUAAACAGGGGAUAGCCUUUCGAAAGAGAGAUUAAUACCCCGUAAUAAAUUGAACGGCAUCGUUUGAUUUUGAAAGCUCCGGCGGUUUGAGAUGAGUAUGCGUCUGAUUAGCUAGUUGGUGAGGUAACGGCUCACCAAGGCGACGAUCAGUAGGGGAUCUGAGAGGACUAACCCCCACACUGGUACUGAGACACGGACCAGACUCCUACGGGAGGCAGCAGUAAGGAAUAUUGGUCAAUGGAGGCAACUCUGAACCAGCCAUGCCGCGUGCAGGAUGACGGCCCUAUGGGUUGUAAAGCUCUUUUGCCAGGGAAGAUGAUGACUGUACCUGGAGAAUAAGCCCCGGGCUAAACUUCGUGCCAGCAGCCGCGGUAAU
rnacentral:rRNA from 1 species